UACGUAGGGUGCAAGCGUUGUCCGGAAUUAUUGGGCGUAAAGAGCUCGUAGGCGGUCUGUCGCGUCUGCUGUGAAAACUCGGGGCUUAACCCCGGGCCUGCAGUGGGUACGGGCAGACUAGAGUGCGGUAGGGGAGACUGGAAUUCCUGGUGUAGCGGUGAAAUGCGCAGAUAUCAGGAGGAACACCGGUGGCGAAGGCGGGUCUCUGGGCCGUAACUGACGCUGAGGAGCGAAAAGCGUGGGGGAGCGAAACAGG
rnacentral:rRNA from 1 species